GACGAACGCUGGCGGCGUGCUUAACACAUGCAAGUCGAACGGGAAGGCCUUGCUUUUGUGGGGUGCUCGAGUGGCGAACGGGUGAGUAACACGUGAGUAACCUGCCCUUGACUUUGGGAUAACUUCAGGAAACUGGGGCUAAUACCGGAUAGGAGCUCCCGCUGCAUGGUGGGGGUUGGAAAGUUUCGGCGGUUGGGGAUGGACUCGCGGCUUAUCAGCUUGUUGGUGGGGUAGUGGCUUACCAAGGCUUUGACGGGUAGCCGGCCUGAGAGGGUGACCGGCCACGUUGGGACUGGGAUACGGCCCGGACUCCUACGGGAGGCAGCAGUGGGGAAGAUUGCACGAUGGGCGGAAGCCUGAUGCAGCAACGCCGCGUGCGGGAUGACGGCCUUCGGGUUGUAAACCGCUUUCGCCUGUGACGAAGCGUGAGUGACGGUAAUGGAUAAAGAAGCACCGGCUAACUACGUG
rnacentral:rRNA from 1 species